rnacentral:rRNA from 1 species
AUACGUAGGUGGCAAGCGUUAUCCGGAAUUAUUGGGCGUAAGGAGGGAGCAGGCGGCAGCAAGGGUCUGUGGUGAAAGCCUGAAGCUUAACUUCAGUAAGCCAUAGAAACCAGGCAGCUAGAGUGCAGGAGAGGAUCGUGGAAUUCCAUGUGUAGCGGUGAAAUGCGUAGAUAUAUGGAGGAACACCAGUGGCGAAGGCGACGAUCUGGCCUGCAACUGACGCUCAGUCCCGAAAGCGUGGGGAGCAAAUAGGAUUAGAUACCCUAGUAGUCCACGCCGUAAACGAUGAGUACUAAGUGUUGGAUGUCAAAGUUCAGUGCUGCAGUUAACGCAAUAAGUACUCCGCCUGAGUAGUACGUUCGCAAGAAUGAAACUCAAAUGAAUGGGCGGGG